GCUGACCUCUCCAGCAUGAGGCUAAAACUGCGGGGCCCAGGUGGGAGGCAGCGGACACCCUCAGGGACCUGCAGCUCAGGAGUGAACUCUGACAGAAGCAGUGCCAGCCUGGGCAUGGCGAAGCUCUGCAUGUUGAGUGCCAGGGGACAGGAGGGCUGUGCAGGCCACGGAACCUCUGACUGCAGCAAUGUGGAGAGGAAGGUUCUUGAGCACGACCUCAAGAAUUCAUCACUCCUUUCAGACUGGACUCAAUAUUUGGCAAGCACACUUGUGAAAGGUAUCUGUCACAAUGGAGUCGCUUUCAGGACGGAGGAAAAAAGAAUGAUCCCAUAGAGGGUGAAAUGCAAAGGCAGAAAGACGGCUCCAAGCCCACAGGAGAAAGGAUAUGUAAGUCACCAAUUUCCGAACUCUUUUCUCUUGGAUUCCCAUUUUUCUAAGAGAACUGUGAGCUUUUUAAUUUGGCCCACGUGUACUGAACAGCGCUACUUGCCAGGCAAUGUUCUUAGCACUGGGGACAAAAAGAAGAAAGAGACUCUCAGCCCGCCAGGGGCUCAGGCAGCUGGGGCAGCCCGAGGGAGAGCUGAACUCCAGGCCUGCAGGGGUCAGCAAGGACUUCCUGAAGGGAAAGGCUGUUUAGUGGGGUCUUGAUGCAUAAGUAGGAGUUUGCUGGGCUGCAUAAAGGGUGGGAUGGACAUUCCAGGCAGAAAGGAUAGAUAUCAUUAUUCUUUCAUGCAGCUCUAGGGGCAAAGAUCUGAUACAAAAUCACGGUUAGUGGUAUAGAAACAGGGAAUUCUGAACUAGUUCUUCCAGCUGCUUCUAAGAAAAAGCAACGAGGCCACAUUAAAAACAAGCAGCAAAAAUAUAUAUACACUGGGGUUUGGCUCUCUUAAAAUAUGAUGCUUUUUUGCCUUUUUUCAAGUAGAAUUUAAAUGACAUGAUCCCUGGACUUCACGUGAAAUGAACUUAAAGUAACAAUUGUGAAAUAAGGGAGUCUACUGGUAGCUGAAUUGGACUUUAGAAUAACAGUAAUUUUGUACAAUACUUUUUUCUGUGAUGUUACUUUCAACUGAACCAAAUCUAGCUCUAGAAAGGUCAGGAAAAAAAAAAACAAAAAACAAAAAACAAAACACCAGGCACUAGGCCGCUCUUAAAAAAUGAGCUAAACUUUAUCCCUAAACUUUUCUGUGAGAAAUAGAUGUGCUCAUAACUGGGAAUCAAGCCUCCUUCUGGAACACUGGGCAAGUGCGAAGCUGCCUUGGACACAGGUGCUCUCUUCCAUAUUCUAGAAAACAUUUCUUCUUCCAUUUCUUUUUUUACAGUCUCUACAUUUUGGGGUACCCCGAGGUUGCCUCAGAAUUCUUCUCGCAGUGAUUCUCAGCCAUGGCAGCACAUAAUCACCACCUGGAGAGCUUUAAAAAAGUACUGAUGGAAUACGCUGCGUCAGACCAAUGAGGUCAGCAUCUCGGGCUGGGCCGGCAUCAGGCUUUCCCAGGUGUGCUGUGUGGCAUGUGCUGCUGUCCGCUGACCUUCACUCAUUCUCUAGGUCAGGACUUCCCAGGCCAGUAGCUUCAGCAGAGCUGAAAUGCUCUGGAAAUGCAAGUUUCCGGGCUCCACCCCACGACUACUGAAUCACAAGCCCUCCAGGUGAUGCUGAGGCAGGCUGGGUGCCCAGGGGACCUCAUCCUGAACCCUAAAGCCUCACAAACUUAUUUUUCCAACCAAAAUCCUGCCUGAGUCCUUGUCAAAACCUCCCUUAGGAUGCCCAGUGGGAAUCUCGAAUACAGUGUGUUUAAACCAAACUCUUGAUUCCCCAUCAAAAACGUGCUCCUCUGUCUUCUAUACAGAACCACCAUUUUACUAAUUCCUUCAGCCAAACACCUUCUGCUGCUACCCCUGUCAUGUGUGCAUCCAAGUGGCAAUCAACCCUCCCCUCGGCUACUGCAGGAGCCUCCGGUGUCCCCACUUCCCCCUUCCCCUGAAGCAUACUGUCCACUUAGCAGCCACUGUGAGCCUCCUAAACCCUCAACAGGAUCAUGCUAUUCCCUGCCUUCCCAGCCUUCCAGAAGGUUCACAUCACACUUAAACUCCUAAAUCACAAUCAUAACCUACAAAGCCGUUAGCUCCUCUCUAAUCUAAGUGCCCACCCUUUCUGCUCCUUCGCCCGUGACCACCAUGCUUCAGCUACACUGACUUCCUGGUGUUUGCCGCCCGGCACACUAGCACAAGACUAACUCAGGGCCUUUGGGUUUGCUCCUCUCCCUGUCUGGAUAUUCUUUCUCAGAUGCUCACAUGGCUUGCCGCUGCUUUUCCCUCACUUCUCUUGUUCAAGUAUCAACUUCUAAGAGAGACAUCUUCCCUAACUAGCCACUGCUAUCUAAAGAAGUCACUCGAUUUUCUCCCGACUAACUGACAAUAAAGUAUGUAGUCCUUUUUUACGUAUUUCCUGUCUUUCCCACUAGAAUUUAAGUUUCAUGAGGACAGGACCUUUUACAGUUUAUGUUCAGUGCAUUUACACUUCCUAUGCCUGCAGCAUAGCAUACACUCAGUGCUUCGCUGAAUUCAUGACAGAAGAGGAUGAUAAAAUAAUAAAGGAAGGAAAAUGAACAAUUGAGCUAGUUGGUGUCCACAGGGUGCAUCCAGCAGCCAAAAUGCAACACGCCACCUUUCUAAACCAUCAAAUGAAGUAAUAUAUUUGGCAUCCUCAGCAAGGUCACGCUCUUGGCAUUCAGUUUUAUGCAUUUAAUGCAGUUUGCAAGUACAAACUCCUAUGUCACUUUCUAUUUGGAAGGGAGAAUAUCAACAUUAACAAUUCCUGGUUAUAUCAUUUAUAAACAUGCAGAUGUGGAUUAUGAAAGAUUAAUGCAUUUUAGGAUUGGUGAAGGCAUUCCGUUUGUCUCAUGCCGAAACCAAUUUUGUUCUUCAUUAGUCAGUGACAACCCAUAUCACCCUGUUAUGGAACAGAAAUCAAAGGUGCAAGCGUGUGAAUUGAGAAUAAGUGAAGAAACUGAUUAGUAAGAGUCUUAACGGCUAUAAUCAAUCAACACAUCAUAAUAAUGCUGGCUCCAGGGUUAUCAGGAGAUUGGGAAAGAAGCCUAACACUGUCUAUAAAAUGGAUUUGUUCCUUCCACAAUGGGUACUUAUUCUCUUCUAGGAAACACGGUGAUAUACCAGAAGUUUGUGAAAUCAACUUUAGGGGCAUCUUGACUCCAAUACUAUGCAUUUCUUCUGGAGUGACGUCUGAAGGAGAAGAGUAGCUCAGAACAAUGGGACGGUUCUUCAAAUGCAAGGCCCGGCCGCCAAACGGCAAUGAGGAAUCUGGUCUUUACAAACAGCGCUGACAAUACUCAUGACCCAUGGACUCGCUGAGUGUCCAUAACCAGGAUCUUGGCCUAAAUUUUAAAGCCACUAUCUUAAAGUGGGAGGUUCUAUAUCAUACUACCAAUAACUAAGCCAUAUAGAGAUGCAGCCCCAUCUCUCAAAAAGACAAAAUAGACAAUUUGCUUUCUUCACUAUUGCUAAGCAGCAUUUGGAAGGGAAUGGAAAUAGUUUUGUAUAACACCCAAAUAUUUUACUUUGUCAGGGAGAAAAAAUGACUGGCGUAAGUUCUCUUUGUAGAACUGCUGAAUUGGUUUUCCGUGCUGCCACAGAUUAAAAACAUGGGAAAUAUCAACAGCAUUUUGUGUUAAUUUUUUUUUCCUUCUCAGCUCGCCAAUAAGCAGCAUGCAUCUUUCUUGCAACAAGCUGUUACAGGGUUUCCACCUCCAGAGAAGCCAAAAAGAACAUUCGACAGUUAUUUUAAAAUAAGAUUAUUAGGUAAGGUGAUUAUGCAGACUUUGAAAUAAAAAAUGUGUCAGUAUGCGAAAUGCCAUUUUAGAGGGUCUACGGCUAAUGUUAUGAACGGACACUGGCUAAGAGCCAUUUACGCAGAGAAAUAAACUCAUGCUUUUUACCUGGAGUUUUAUUAGGGCCAAAUGAAAAAGUAGAACGUUUAUUUACUUAAGAUGGGCUUGGGCCCUAAGAGAGCUAAAACUCCAGGGAAAACGGGUGAAAUGAAAGAGACGCUGGCUUGCAUCCUCUGUCGUCCAUCUGAGAGGCACUAAUCUUGACAAAUGAGACCAAGAGCUAUCAUUUCCUCUCACUGGAAUCCUUCCUGUUCACUCUGGCCUAUGACUAACUCCUAACUGAGAUUCAUUUUUCUCUUUCCCAUUAUAGCAUCCUUCCAGAUUCUGCUUGUUUGAAUGUCAAAUUAAGCAAGAAAAUUAGUUUUUUGACCAGAAUAUCUUCUUGUUUGUAUCUGCAGCUAUAUAGGCUUGCAGAGAAAUCUACUUGCUGACGGGGUAGGACUGGGUGAGCGCGUACACAGAAGAGCUCUAAAUAUACCCCGGUGCUGCCAGAGUUCUUUUCCAUAUUUAAUCGAAUACGGGGCGCCCUUUCUAGAACUCAUGCUUUUUGUGUCUGAGAUUUUUCUGAGGUGCACAGAUUCAUCAUGCUGGUUGGUAUGCUGGAGACAUCUCUCACCAUCUAGGGAUGGCCAGGGUAAAGCGGCGGAGAGCCAGGCUCCACUAUGAAGGAGCUGGAGCUUUGUGGCGUAGGAGGAUGAGCUCUGGCCAACCCACUUUUUAGGGCUCGACACACCUGUGAUCCUUUUCAAAGGACAGAGACUGAAGUUGUUCGCUGGGUAAGAGCUCACAUUAGCAGAGGGGUGCGGGGUACCACAUGCUGUGCGCUGUUGUGGGGCUCCUGGAGGCAGCUACCCCAGCGGGAGGCACCUGUGCAGAGGUGAUCACUGGGGUAGUGGGGAGCGCGGCGGGCUGGAGAGGGAGGAGGUGAGGGGAGGUAGCAGUAGAAAAAGACGGGAGCUGGGAAGGCGGCUCCUGGAAGGCGAGUGAGAUUCCUUCCGACCCAGGCCUCCUGGCUUCACAGUCUGAGCUCUGAAGCUGCCUUGACCCAUCCCUCACACCCAGCCAGCCAGCGGGCAGUGUGCUGAGAGGCCAGGCGGCUGGUGAGCAGCCCCAAACAGCAAAGCAUGAAAUGUCAAAAUAAAGGGGGUUCUACUUUCUUACUUGAUGCAACUCUAUUUUGUUUGUUUCUAUGAUAGCUAGGAUGAGGUGGCCUUUAAUUAGUCUCACCUAGUACCAGGCAAGAAGAACAACAGCCAUGAUAUAAACAGCUACUCAUUAUGUGCUAGCAUGAAGACCUAAUUUUGUAUUUUUGAUCCUAAUCUCUUAUGAUCGGUGGCCUUCUACUGCCAGAUCAAAGUGACUUAACUCUACUUACAGUGGACUUGGUACAAAUACCAAACGCCUAAUGCCAAAAAAAGAAUGGGGAAAAGUCUAUUCAGGAAUUUUCAGUUACUGCCCUUAGAUCUUCAUUAAUAAAACAGAUGAACUUAGUUUUAUAAACAAGAGUGCCAGCCAGGCUGUGAACAGUUAACACCUACCCUGAUGGCGUGCUCCCUCUCCUCAAUAUUUAAACACUGUCGCUGCUUACAGCACACGGAGGAAAAGCUGACAGAAGCCUUUGGCCAAUAAAAUGAAAAA